UACGUAGGGUGCAAGCGUUGUCCGGAAUUAUUGGGCGUAAAGAGCGUGUAGGCGGCCAGGUAGGUCUGGUGUGAAAACUCGAGGCUUAACCUCGAGAUGUCAUCGGAAACCAUCUGGCUAGAGUCCGGAAGAGGAGAGUGGAAUUCCUGGUGUAGCGGUGAAAUGCGCAGAUAUCAGGAAGAACACCAAUGGCGAAGGCAGCUCUCUGGGACGGUACUGACGCUGAGACGCGAAAGCGUGGGGAGCGAACAGG
rnacentral:rRNA from 1 species